rnacentral:rRNA from 1 species
AGUGAACGCUGGCGGUAGGCCUAACACAUGCAAGUCGAACGGCAGCACAGUAAGAGCUUGCUCUUACGGGUGGCGAGUGGCGGACGGGUGAGGAAUACAUCGGAAUCUACUUUUUCGUGGGGGAUAACGUAGGGAAACUUACGCUAAUACCGCAUACGACCUACGGGUGAAAGCAGGGGAUCUUCGGACCUUGCGCGAUUGAAUGAGCCGAUGUCGGAUUAGCUAGUUGGCGGGGUAAAGGCCCACCAAGGCGACGAUCCGUAGCUGGUCUGAGAGGAUGAUCAGCCACACUGGAACUGAGACACGGUCCAGACUCCUACGGGAGGCAGCAGUGGGGAAUAUUGGACAAUGGGCGCAAGCCUGAUCCAGCCAUACCGCGUGGGCGAAGAAGGCCUUCGGGUUGUAAAGCCCCUUUGUUGGGAAAGAAAAGCAGCAGGUUAAUACCCCGCUGUUCUGACGGUACCCAAAGAAUAAGCACCGGCUAACUUCGUG